rnacentral:tRNA from 1 species
GGAGGUACAGCUCAAGUGGUAGAGCACAUGCUUAGCAUGCCGGAGGUCCUGGGUUCAAGCCCCAGUACCUCUU